rnacentral:tRNA from 1 species
GGCGCAAUAGCCAAGUGGUAAGGAAAAGUUUUGCAAAAGCUUUAUCCCCAGUUCUAGUCUGUGUGGUGCCG